UGGCCAUAGUGUUUGAGGAAUUAAAUGUGGUAAAGACAACCCUGGAUGCUUGGGGAGACCAACCUUGUGGAUUCUGAGCUGGGCACCAUUAGGAAAAUAACGUUGGUCAUUCCCAAGCAUUGUGAAGUGGAGAAAGGGGAUGCAGAAGAGAAAUGGUGAGGAUGCCCAUGAACACGGAGUGAAGCAGAAAGAAGGCAUUUUGUGAGCACUUCAAAAUUUUCUGGAUUUUUUACUAAAAUUAAAAGAAAACUGGAAUUAACUCUUUUAUGAGAGGAACUUUAGCAUACUAAUAAUGGCAACAACAAUAAAAACUAUGUUAUUGAAUAGUGACUGGGCACCCAAACUACACUAAAGACUGCACACACUUCUUUGGGUUUGAUCUUCACAAAGCUCUAUGAAUAGGUAUAAUUAUUUUCCCCUUUUGCACAAGAAAGAAUUGUUCCUUGCAGAGGUAAAGGGACAUAGCUAAGGUCAGGAGCAGAGCCAGGAUUCAAACUGGGGUCAGACUCUACAUCCCAGCUCUGGACCACUACACCUCACGACCUCGCUCAGGACUCUGCUUGCGGUGUCUGCCAGCUUUCCU
rnacentral:lncRNA from 1 species